GUGGUUGCAGCAGCUGUUGUGGUAUUGGUGGGAGCUGUUGUGGGAGAUGUUGUGGUAGAUGCUGGAGCUGUAGUGGUGGUUGCUGGAGUUGUUGUGGUAGUUUCUGGAUUUGUUGUGGGUGCUGUUGUGGUAGUGGUGGUAGCUGUUGUGGUAAUUGCUGCAGCUGUUAUGGGGGCUGUUGUGAUGGUUGCAGCAGCUGUUGUGGGGGCCUUAGCGGUAGUGGCGGCAGAUAUUGUGGGUUCUUUUGUGGCUGCCGUUGUUGUAGUUGCAGCAGCUGUUGUGGUAGUGGUGGGAGCUGCUGUGGGUGCUGUUGUGGUGGUUGCAGCCGCUGUUGUGGUAGUUACUGGAGCUCUUGUGGGUGCUGUUGUGGUAGUGGUGGGACCUGUUGUGGUAAUGGUGGCAGCUGUUGUGGGUGCUGUUGUGGUGGUUGCAGCAGCUGUUGUGGUAGUUUCUGGAGCUGUUGUGGGUGCUGUUGUGGUAGUGGUGGGACCUGUUGUGGUAGAUGCUGGAGCUGUUGUGGUAGUUGCUGGAGCUGUUGUGGUGGUUGCAGCAGCUGUUGUGGUAGUUUCUGGAGCUGUUGUGGGUGCUGUUGUGGUAGUGGUGGUAGCUGUUGUGGUAAUUGCUGCAGCUGUUAUUGGGGCUGUUGUGGUGGU
ensembl:lncRNA